CUACGGGAGGCAGCAGUGGGGAAUUUUGGACAAUGGGGGCAACCCUGAUCCAGCCAUGCCGCGUGAGUGAAGAAGGCCUUCGGGUUGUAAAGCUCUUUCGGCCGGGAAGAAAUCGUGUGGGCUAAUACCCUGCAUGGAUGACGGUACCGGAAUAAGAAGCACCGGCUAACUACGUGCCAGCAGCCGCGGUAAUACGUAGGGUGCGAGCGUUAAUCGGAAUUACUGGGCGUAAAGCGUGCGCAGGCGGUUUUGUAAGACAGGCGUGAAAUCCCCGGGCUUAACCUGGGAACUGCGCUUGUGACUGCAAGGCUAGAGUACGGCAGAGGGGGGUGGAAUUCCACGUGUAGCAGUGAAAUGCGUAGAGAUGUGGAGGAACACCGAUGGCGAAGGCAGCCCCCUGGGCCGAUACUGACGCUCAUGCACGAAAGCGUGGGUAGCAAACAGGAUUAGAUACCCCUGUAGUCCG
rnacentral:rRNA from 1 species